GGAUCUUCCACAUGGACGAAGUCUGAUGGAGCACGCCGCGUGAGUGAUGAAGGUUUUCGGAUCGUAAAACUCUGUUGUAAGGGAAGAACAAGUACGUUAGGAAAUGAACGUACCUUGACGGUACCUUAUUAGAAAGCCACGGCUAACUACGUGCCAGCAGCCGCGGUAAUA
rnacentral:rRNA from 1 species